UANUCCUGGCCGUAGACGAUGGGUACUAGGUGUAGGAGGUAUCGACCCCUUCUGUGCCGGAGUUAACGCAAUAAGUACCCCGCCUGGGGAGUACGACCGCAAGGUUGAAACUCAAAGGAAUUGACGGGGGCCCGCACAAGCGGUGGAGUAUGUGGUUUAAUUCGACGCAACGCGAAGAACCUUACCAGGUCUUGACAUUGAUGGACAGAACCAGAGACGGUUCCUCUUCUUCGGAAGCCAGAAAACAGGUGGUGCACGGUUGUCGUCAGCUCGUGUCGUGAGAUGUUGGGUUAAGUCCCGCAACGAGCGCAACCCCUAUCUUAUGUUGCCAGCACUUUGGGUGGGGACUCAUGAGAGACUGCCGCAGACAAUGCGGAGGAAGGCGGGGAUGACGUCAAAUCAUCAUGCCCCUUAUGACCUGGGCUACACACGUACUACAAUGGGAGUUAAUAGACGGAAGCGAGAUCGCGAGAUGGAGCAAACCCGAGAAACACUCUCUCAGUUCGGAUCGUAGGCUGCAACUCGCCUA
rnacentral:rRNA from 1 species